AUAUAGGCUCUUUGUUAGAUCAACAAUAAUGCAUAUGAGAGCCACUCAACAUUUUCAUCAAGGUCUUCU
rfam:Triticum urartu cultivar G1812 contig144484, whole genome shotgun sequence.